rnacentral:rRNA from 1 species
UAGUUAAUUGAUUGCUUGUUUAAAGGACUAGUUAAUGCUAGUGAGGUGUAAAGGCCAUUUGGGCUUAUUUGUUAUGGUGUUGUUAAGGGAUUGGCAAAUUUUUUGUAUUUAUUAGUAAUGUAGAUAGAAAAUUUUAUUUUUCAAGCUAGAGUUUAGAAGUACCGUGAGGGAAAUUAAUUUAGGUUUUUAAGCUUUUUUUUAGUAGGGAUAAAGUCCCGUACCUUUUGCAUCAUGGUUCUUUAAGAGGUUUUUUAGAUAAAAUUGGCCCGAAAAAAAACGAGCUAUUUUUUGGCUUGCGUCAUCGUUGUAAAGAUGUGCUAAGACUUAAAAAUAGGAGUGAUAUUCUUUUCGCGUUUUUUGAUAGCUGGUUGGUCGGGAAAGGCAUUAGAGUGCUGUCUCAAUCUUUGGUUCUUGUCUAAUUUAGUGUACUGUGUUAGUACUCUAAGGCAUGGAGUAUUAUAAUUGAGGUUUGUGCGAGAAAGGAUUAGCUUUUUUGUAUUGUUAAAAAGUUGGAUUGGUGGCGUUAUAGUAGUUUGGUAGGCUUGGAGUUGGCCAUCUUUUAAGUUUGUUCUAAAAUAUCUACUGUUCGGCUGAAAAUUUAUAUGUGUGACUUUUAAGUUUGAUUUAUAGUACCGAUUUUAUAGGUGGAAUUAGGUUUACUUAUGGAAUAAUGAGGAAAUGAGUAUUUAUUGUAAUUUAGUUUGUCUUUGUUUAUUAAGGUAAGUUGACAGUAAAAUUUGAUUAAUGUAUGGAAGAUUAAUAUAAAUCUUGGAAAGGAACUCGGCAAAGAUCGGCCUCGCCUGUUUAGCAAAAACAUCGCUCCUUGGUUGUGAUAAUAUAAGGAGUCGGACCUGCCCGGUGACCUACGGGUUAAACGGCCGCGGUACACUGACCGUGCAAAGGUAGCACAAUCACUUGCCUUUUAAUUGGAGGCUGGUAUGAAUGGUUUGACGAGGGCUGAGCUGUCUCUCCUGGAAUAUUUAAAAAUUAACUUCUAAGUGAAAAGGCUUAGAUUUAGCUGAGGGACGAGAAGACCCUGUUGAGCUUUAGUGUGGAAUAAAGGGGUUGUUUCUAUUAGAAUAGAGGAUUUUAAAUUUAUUCUUACAUCUUUAGUUGGGGUGACUAGGGAACAUGAAAAGCUUCUCUGUUAAUUUGUAGAAUUUUGGUUUACUAACAAGUGAUCCAGCAUUGCUGAUUAUCGGAAAAAGUUACCACAGGGAUAACAGCGUAAUCUUUCUGGAGAGUUCACAUUGAAAGAAGGGUUUGCGACCUCGAUGUUGGAUUAAGGUGUCCUGAGGGUGUAGCAGCUUUCGUUGGUUGGUCUGUUCGACCAUUAAAACCUUACAUGAUCUGAGUUCAGACCGGCGUAAGCCAGGUUGGUUUCUAUCUUCAGUUAUUCGUGUUUCUUUGGCUAGUACGAAAGGACCGCUUUAAGACAAAUGUUAAAGUUUGUAAAAAUUGAUUAUAUCUAAAUUUGGUAUGAGAUUUAUUGAGAAUGGGAUGUU